GACGAACGCUGGCGGCGUGCUUAACACAUGCAAGUCGAACGGAGUGGCGAACGGGUGAGUAACACGUGGGUGAUCUGCCUUGCACUCUUGGAUAAGCUUGGGAAACUGGGUCUAAUACCGGAUAGUGCAAGAUGAGCUCGCGGCCUAUCAGCUUGUUGGUGGGGUAAUGGCCUACCAAGGCGUCGACGGGUAGCCGGCCGGAGAGGGUGUAAGGCAAAAUUGGGAAUGAGAUACGGCCAAGACUCCUACGGGAGGCAGCAGGGGGGAAGAGUGCACAAUGGGAGGAAGCCUGAUGCAGCGACGCCGCGUGGGGGAUGACGGCCUUCGGGUUGUAAACGCCUUUCGACAGGGACGCGGUACCUGUAUAAGAAGCACCGGCUAACUACGUGCCAGCAGCCGCGGUAAUAC
rnacentral:rRNA from 1 species